UGGGUAACCUGCCUCAAAGAGGGGAAUAGCCUCCCGAAAGGGAGAUUAAUACCGCAUAAUAUGUUUAAGUCGCAUGACUUUAACAUCAAAGGAUUUUCUUUUAGAAAUUCCACUUUGAAAUGGACUCGCGGCGCAUUAGCUAGUUGGUGAGGUAACGGCUCACCAAGGCAACGAUGCGUAGCCGACCUGAGAGGGU
rnacentral:rRNA from 1 species